CAGGAUUAGAUACCCUGGUAGUCCACGCUGUAAACGAUGUCGAUUUGGAGUUUGUUGCCUAGAGUGAUGGGCUCCGAAGCUAACGCGAUAAAUCGACCGCCUGGGGAGUACGGCCGCAAGGUUAAAACUCAAAUGAAUUGACGGGGGCCCGCACAAGCGGUGGAGCAUGUGGUUUAAUUCGAUGCAACGCGAAGAACCUUACCUGGUCUUGACAUCCAUAGAAUUCUGCAGAGAUGUGGGAGUGCCUUCGGGAACUAUGAGACAGGUGCUGCAUGGCUGUCGUCAGCUCGUGUUGUGAAAUGUUGGGUUAAGUCCCGCAACGAGCGCAACCCUUAUUCUUUGUUGCCAGCGAUUUGGUCGGGAACUCAAAGGAGACUGCCGUUGAUAAAGCAGGAAGGUGGGGACGACGUCAAGUCAUCAUGGCCCUUACGACCAGGGCUACACACGUGCUACAAUGGCGUAUACAAAGGGAAGCGAAGGUGCGAGCUGGAGCGGAUCUCAUAAAGUACGUCUAAGUUCGGAUUGGAGUCUGCAACUCGACUCCAUGAAGUCGGAAUCGCUAGUAAUCGUAGAUCAGAAUGCUACGGUGAAUACGUUCCCGGGCCUUGUACACACCGCCCGUCACACCAUGGGAGUGGGUUGCACCAGAAGUAGAUAGCUUAACCGCGAGGGGGGCGUUUACCACGGUGUGAUUCAUGACUGGGGUGAAGUCGUAACAAGGUAACCA
rnacentral:rRNA from 1 species